UACGGGGGGGGCAAGCGUUGUUCGGAAUUACUGGGCGUAAAGGGCUCGUAGGUGGCCAACUAAGUCAGACGUGAAAUCCCUCAGCUUAACUGGGGAACUGCGUCUGAUACUGGAUGGCUUGAGUUUGGGAGAGGGAUGCGGAAUUCCAGGUGUAGCGGUGAAAUGCGUAGAUAUCAGGAGGAACACCUGUGGUGUAGACAGCUUACUGGACCACGACUGACGCUGAGACACGAAAGCGUGGGUAGCAAACAGG
rnacentral:rRNA from 1 species